UAACUGAGAAUGGAAACAUUACCAACUGCCCUGUAGAAACCGAUGUGAAUUCAGUUGCGGCGAUGGCUGGAUUACAUAGCAGUAAUGGUAUUGCAGCAAUGUACGAAUCUCUACUUAAUCAAAUUAAAAGGAUAAGAAGCAUCAAGAAAUUUCAUGCUUUUAUGGAUUCUGGAUUGGAAGAAGAUGAAUUUACAGAAUGUGUUCAUAAUUUGGCUGAUUGUAAAGAAGCAUAUGAAGAUCACUAUAUUUAACGAAAAACUGUAUCAUAAUGUAUUUGACAUAAUUUUAGUUAUCUGAUACUUAUUAUAAGUUGUGAUAUGCAGUAUUUUAUAUAAUAAAAUUUUGUUAUAAUAAAUUUA